AUUAACUGCGAUUUGGGGUUGAUUUUUAUUAUGUAGCUCUAUGUAUCAUUUUUUUGAGUUUUAUUUGUGUUGUUGUGUUCACCAAUUUAAGGUACCUGUGGUGACCUUCUUUUCUUGAUUAAUGUAGAGUUGUACUAUUUUUCUUAAGGAAAAGUGCGAUUUAUUCUAUUAUACCAAAGAAUGAAGAAUUGGUGUCGAAAUAAGUAUGUUGGAUUAGGGCUUUUGGCUUUGAGAAAGGGACAAUAAGCAAGUUGGUUUAGAGUUUUUCGAAAUAGGUUCUUUGGUGGUGUUGGAUAAUUACUUUAGCUUCACAUAUAAUUUGUGCCUGAUUCGACAAUGGGUUUGAUCCGAUGAUUGUGAAAUUUUUUUUAUUGAUCCAGAUAUGCUCAAUCUUGCCAAUUUUGAAUGUGUUGAUAUUUGCAUGUUAGCUAAGAUGCAUGAAUUUGAGGUACUGAAUAGAAGCAGGCAGAAGGUUGUGAUUGAAAAAUAUUGUCUAGAUAUAUUGUCGAGAGAUAGAAGAUACUUGAUGAAAUAGUUGAAAUGUUCAAGCGAAACCAGACACCAUCAAUUUAAGGAAAAACAUUGUGUAGAUGCAUUGCUUUCUCUCUCAGAGGCAGUGCAUGAAAAUGCUGUUGCUAGAUGUGUCAAUGUGACGUGAUGAUCAAGCUGCACCAAUAUCUCACACUGAGAAGAUAAUAUUAAGAGGCGGGGAGUAAUAAUGCAUGCUGGAACUUCUGGGAUUUAUCCAAAACGAAGAGAAAUUGCAACCUAUGAAAUCUCACAAGUGAUUGAAGAUUAUCACAAGGCGACUUUAAAUGCUAUUGAAGCAGGCUGGGAUAAAUACAAUUCGUGAAGGUCAUAGCAGUUAUGCACCAAAUGCAGAGGUGAGUGGGUUAUUAUACAUUCAUGAUAAGAUUCUGAUAAAGAAUGCGGCAAAACAAAGUACUAUUCAGGUAGUGCUUGCAGAUUGUUCCCAGGGGAUGAGAUAUCAGGGACUGUUGUAAAACAAUUUGGCAAUAGAUUAGCAUCACAUAUCUACAUGACAACAUGUUUCUCAGGUGAAGAAAAUAUUUAUUCCCUUCUAAUUAUACUGUUAUAAGGCCCUUUAGCCUAAUCGCUGAUUCAAGAAAUUGCAUAUAAAAGGGUAACUGGAAAUUGAAGCAGGUAGAGCUAGAAACUAAGGUGUAUGAGACAUUGAAUGUCAAAAUAAAAAUUAGGAUAACUUUGUUCACCCAGGCUUAGUGGAAAAAUAUUGCAACUUUCUUUUGUUUCUUUAGCAUUUUGGUGUAAAAAGAAAACACCUUCUUGUCUAGAUAGCUUGGUACAGCUCCUUGGGAGGCUUACUUAUUGUUAGAAGUUACAAAAUAUCAUUUUGGAGUAGUAUUAAUGGACUCUAUUAAUUUAUCAAACAAAAAAGGAGAUAACACCAAGAGCUAGUUGUUUAAAUUAUAUUAUUUUGUUGCUUACCCUACACUAGUGAAGUACCAAACAGUAAACCACGCUAUAAUUAUCAAAAAAUUCAAAUAUAAUAAAUUAAAAAGAAUUAAAGGUUAUUAUCAGUGAUAAAAAGCGCAUCCUGAUAGUGAUCUAAUAGGCAUUCCAAUAAUUAAAGGCAAAGCUGCAAGAAUUAGACAGUAAAUUCACCUAACUGAAGAUACUUUCAACAGGUAUUGAAAGAACAACUUAUUUAUCUGAAUUAUUAGAUGAAAUUAUGGCCAUAGAUGGGUUGCAUCUAGGUAGUGAACGAAAAUAGUUGAUGCUUUUCAAAAUAUUUUACAUUAAAAAUAGAUGUCAGACUAAAUUAUUCCUAAUCUAUUGAGAUAUGUUGCAGUUGGUAGUUGUUUAUGGCAAAGCAACCAUAUGAAGUGUAAGAUCUUAGGUGGAAUAUGCAAUCUUUACAUCCAACUAAAAAUUGUUGUGGUUUGGAUAGUGUCUAUUCUCUCUUAAUAAGAGUGUAAGUGGAUUUGGUGCUAAAAAGAUCAAUACCCAUACUUUGAGUAUCAUUAAUUUGGAUCCUUAAAAGUGUCCAUUUGAAGUUUUGAGAACUUCAAAUGAUAAGAGAAAUUUUAAUGUGCCUUGAAAGACAACUUUCCUAUAUUGGACUGAAAUAAGUUAAAUAGACGUAGAUGAUAUAGACAACCUCAUCUAGUUACUUUAAUGUGCAGUAAAAAAUAGAUGAAAAUACAAUCUAAUUUUUUGCGAUAUUGAUUGUGUAUACAAAUCUUUGGAUACUCUCCAUCAUGAUUUUAUUGGGAUAGUUUGAUUCGCUCUCUGAAGAAAACUUUUAGUGUGAUUAUUUUAAAAUUUUAUAUAAAUAUUUGAUGUCUUAUAUAUUCAUAUGUUUAUACUGAUUUUGUUUGGUGACAUGAGUAUAGGAAUAAGGACUAAAUUUUGAAUGAAAAGAGCAUAUACUUGAGAAAGUUUGGUAAUUUGUGCUACAAUCGUGUCAAUAUCUCCCAUUCAGCAUUUACAUAUGACAGUAAUUUGGGCAAUUUCAUGGCAAUAUCAACAAAUAAAUUUAGGUACAAAUUUACAACUCUUAAUACUUGGCAUAAUAUUUAUUUUAGAUUCACACAAUUACAUAUUAAAAAUUGCGGAACAUAUUUGGUAGAAUUGAGACCUAGAGGAUGCUUCACAAUCUGGUAAAAAAUACUUGGUUGGACCCUUUAAAUUGUCUGAGAAAUACGCAUGUUAUGUUAGAACAAUAUUAAGUUUUCUAUAUUUUGAUCUUAGCUUUUUUCACAAUUGACCUUAUUAUUAAUCAUGUAAGAAUGACUUCUAUGUGGAGACAAAAUGAUUUAUAUGUACCUAUUCGGAGGUAGACCACUUGUACACUUCUUUUUUUUUGGUUGAUUUAUAUACAUCACUUCCUCUGGUAGACACAUUCUUCCAUCCACAGUCAAUAAAUAUUCAAUAAUAAUCUCAAAUAAUAUUGUUAACCUUCUCUUUGGUUCCCAAUGACAUUAAAGAGGAGAACAAAUAAAUGAAAUUUUAAAUGUACAAAAAUUAAGACUGUUUGUGUUGGGUGCCUUACCAACAAUAAUUUGACUAAUUGUUGAUCUCGUGUGUGUAGAACUCUACUAAUCUUGUGCGAUUGUGUCUACUAACUUUUUCCAGGUAUGCCUUCUUCCUCAUCCUCGCCUUCUUCAAGACAAUUCAUUCUCAAUUGUUGAUUCUUAUUAUUGUACUCCUCUUCAUCAUAUUUCUAAGGGUUUUCACACUUUUAAUACAUUAUAGAUAGAUAUAGAUUAUAGAUUAUAGAUACAAAUAUAGAUUAUAGAUACUACUCUGGUGAAUUGGUGAAUUAUCGAUGAUUACUAUACGAUAUGAUAAAAUUAUGUUAAUUUUUAUAGGAGUAACAUAAUCAAUCACUCUUUAAGUAAUUAUAAUGAGUCAUCUAGGUAUUAAGAGAAUAAAUAAAAUUUAAUAAAAAGAUAAAAUAGACAUAAAAUGUGAAAUUAACUCUUGAGGUUUUAAACUAAAUUGUCGUCCUUCAAACGAUAAUUUUACUGUACCAUCCCUUAUUAUAAGUCAUUUAUGUAUCAAAAAAUUAAGAAUAACAAAAUGAUAUGUCAACAUAAAAAAAAAUUGAUUGACUAUCAAAAUUAUAUUAGUGCCAAAUAAAUUAGGACGAGAUAGAAGAAGAUAUAAAAGCAACAUAUAUUAUUUGAAAAUGAAAUAAAAAGUAUUGUAAACAACAAUAAUUAACAAAAAAAUUUAAAAAAUUGACUGAUCGCUAAAAUUUUAUCUGUGCCGCAUAAAUUGGGAUGAAGAAAAUGUUCAUCUCAUUGAAAAAUAUGUAAAAAAUAUUAUAAAUCACAUAAUUAACAAUUUUAAAAUAUAAAAUAUUUGUCUGACUCUUGAAAUUAUAUUAUUGUCAUUUAAAUUAAAAUAGAAGAAAAAUAUUAUAAAUCACAAUAAUUAAAAACUUAAAUUAUUUUAACAGAAAAGGGUCAAAAAUACUUCUGAACUAUCUGAAAUGGAUAAAAAAUAUUCUCGUUAAUUUUUUGGCUUAAGAAUAUCCCUCCGUUAAAUAUUUGGCUAAAAAAAUACCCCUCCUCCUAAUAGAAUUCCAACAAUGACACCACCUAGAUAAAAAAAACCACCUGGACAUUCCACAUCUUUUUUUUUUGGAUUUAAUUUUUGAAUUUUAUUCAAAUUAAAAACCAAUCACAUAGUCUUUACACAUUGAGAAGUUGUUGGAUAUUCCACAUCACUAUCCACAUGUAUAAUUCUUUUUAAGAAUCCAUCAGCCCAUCAACGAUCAACAACCCCAUUUGACUUAAAACCUUAAAUUUUUGUACCAAUUUUGUAGCAAGAACAUUUUAACAAUUGUUGCAGCCUAAAUGGUGAUAUAUUCAAUGGAAAAUUAACUAAAUGAUGGAACCAAUCCCUUUAUACAAUUUUUGCAAAAUGAUGAAACCAAUUUGUCUCUCAAGAUGAUUUUCUUGUCCACCACCUUUGAAACUGUUAUCAAUCAAUUGUCCCACAUUGGAAAAAUAGAAAAAUGCUAAGGGGAUUAUAAGCCAAAUGAGUUCUCCCACCUAUUAGACUAGUCUUUUGGGUUGGACUCUCCCGUUUAGUUUAUAACAUUGGUGCUUUUAUUGAGAGUCCCACGCGUUGGGCUGUGACUUUGAGUGGUGGUCUGCGCGCUAGGAGUGGUGGCUUGGACCCAAGAGGGGUGCCAGUCGUGAUCAACUGGCGUAGCCAUGACCAACAAGGAUCGAUUCACGUGUGGGGAGCCGCGCAUUGGGCCGUGACUCGUAGUGGUGAUCUGAACCCAAGAGGGGUGCCAGCCGUAAGCCAAAUGUGUUCUCCCAUCUAUUAGACUAGUCUUUUGGGUUGGGCUCCAGAAACAAAAUUAUAAAUGCAGUGUGGCAGUCUACACAAACUCUGACAUUAUACGGAUAGGGACCCAGGUGGAGAAUUGAGAAGUGCAAACGCUAAAGUCGAGUGAUUCUCUAUGGUAUUGCAACCUCUCUUCCCUCUGAUCCAUAAGUCAAAGAUGCACCGAUUCUUUGGGAGAAAAGACAUCAUUUUUUCCUGAACUUGUCGCCAAAAUUUACUUUAGCACUUAAACUUAACUUAUAAUUUAUUUACCCCCCUUAACAACUUUCAACUGAAUUUUUUACCACUCUAAUUACUGACGUGACAAAUUUUUUAAAAAUCAGUCCAUAAAUAACUUUAAAAACGUGGAAAAAAGGUGGGGUCCACCUUUUAAAUUUUAUAAUUUAAUAUAUAUAUAAUAAUAAUAAUAAUAAGAAAACAUCUACUUCACUUCUUCAUCUUCUUCAACCCCAUCCCCCUCGUUCCCCUCACCCCCACCCCCAGCACAUCGUUGUAACAUUGAAUUUAAUUUUUCUUCUUUCCAGCAAUGAAUCUGAAUAUUUGUCAAUAUUUUGUUAAUUUUGAUUGUUAAAAACGUUGAGGGAGUUAGAAUUGAAGGUUGAAAUAAUAUUUUAAUGGAGGAAAAAUCUUAAAUUGAUUUGAGAUUUUAUUUUUGAUGUGUUUUUGUGAUUAUGUACUUGUAUUAAGUCCAUUGUUGGAUUUACUCAAGUUAAUUCAAGUCAUUUUUUCAUGUGAUGAAGAAAAAAACUCAUUGAAAACUUGCAACAAUGGAGAAUAUUGAUAGGUGGGUUCUUCUAAAACUGAUACUGUAACUUAUGGUAGUGGAAUUGUCUCUGUAGGUUAAUUUGUGGGAUUGUAAAUUUAUCUUAGGAAAUUAUGACUUAAUUCAAUGUGUAUGAUUAAGGAGGAAGAACGAGGGUAUAUAUGUAAAAAUAGGUUAUUUAUAUGUUUUAUUUUUUUUAAAAAAUAUAUAAAAUGUAUGUGUGUGAUUACUUUUUAAAAAAUAAAAUUAUAAUUUCUUACGUGGCAAUGACAUGACACUGAUGUGGCACUGAUUUGGUAAUGA